AACUGGAUAGCCUAGUGGUCAAAGGCAGCACUUCUAGCUCAGUGUCAAUGAUCAGGUCCCAGGUUCAAAUCCUGGUCUAGUCA
rnacentral:tRNA from 1 species